rnacentral:rRNA from 1 species
AGCGAACGUUAGCGGCGCGCCUUACACAUGCAAGUCGAACGGCAGCGGACCUUCGGGUGCCGGCGAGUGGCGAACGGGUGAGUAAUAUAUCGGAACGUACCUUUCAGUGGGGGAUAACGUAGCGAAAGUUACGCUAAUACCGCAUAUUCUGUGAGCAGGAAAGCAGGGGAUCGCAAGACCUUGCGCUGAUUGAGCGGCCGAUAUCAGAUUAGCUAGUUGGUGAGGUAAAGGCUCACCAAGGCGACGAUCUGUAGCGGGUCUGAGAGGAUGAUCCGCCACACUGGAACUGAGACACGGUCCAGACUCCUACGGGAGGCAGCAGUGGGGAAUUUUGGACAAUGGGCGCAAGCCUGAUCCAGCCAUGCCGCGUGAGUGAAGAAGGCCUCGGUUGUAAGA